rnacentral:rRNA from 1 species
GACGAACGCUGGCGGCGUGCCUAAUACAUGCAAGUAGAACGCUGAAGGAGGAGCUUGCUCUUCUGGAUGAGUUGCGAACGGGUGAGUAACGCGUAGGUAACCUGCCUGGUAGCGGGGGAUAACUAUUGGAAACGAUAGCUAAUACUGCAUAACAGUAGAUGUUGCAUGAUAUUUGCUUAAAAGGUGCAAUUGCAUCACUACCAGAUGGACCUGCGUUGUAUUAGCUAGUUGGUGGGGUAACGGCUCACCAAGGCGACGAUACAUAGCCGACCUGAGAGGGUGAUCGGCCACACUGGGACUGAGACACGGCCCAGACUCCUACGGGAGGCAGCAGUAGGGAAUCUUCGGCAAUGGACGGAAGUCUGACCGAGCAACGCCGCGUGAGUGAAGAAGGUUUUCGGAUCGUAAAGCUCUGUUGUAAGAGAAGAACGAGUGUGAGAGUGGAAAGUUCACACUGUGACGGUAUCUUACCAGAAAGGGACGGCUAACUACGUGCCAGCAGCCGCGGUAAUACGUAGGUCCCGAGCGUUGUCCGGAUUUAUUGGGCGUAAAGCGAGCGCAGGCGGUUAGAUAAGUCUGAAGUUAAAGGCUGUGGCUUAACCAUAGUACGCUUUGGAAACUGUUUAACUUGAGUGCAAGAGGGGAGAGUGGAAUUCCAUGUGUAGCGGUGAAAUGCGUAGAUAUAUGGAGGAACACCGGUGGCGAAAGCGGCUCUCUGGCUUGUAACUGACGCUGAGGCUCGAAAGCGUGGGGAGCAAACAGG